CACAUGCAAGUCGAGCGAGGCCCAUCAGGUGGCAACACCUGGUGGUUCCUAGCGGCGAACGGGUGAGUAACACGUGGGUAACCUACCCCUGACUUCGGGAUAACCCCGGGAAACCGGGGCUAAUACCGAAUACGAGGCUCUCUCGCAUGGGAGAGCCUGGAAAGGGUUCACCGGUCAGGGAUGGGCCCGCGGCCUAUCAGCUUGUUGGUGGGGUAAGAGCCCACCAAGGCGACGACGGGUAGCCGGCCUGAGAGGGUGUCCGGCCACACUGGGACUGAGACACGGCCCAGACUCCUCGGGAGGCAGCAGUGGG
rnacentral:sRNA from 1 species